GACAGGGGUCUCGAGCGUUAAUCGGAAUCACUGGGCUUAAAGGGUGCGUAGGCCGCCUCGUAAGUGCUUUGUGAAAGCCCCCGGCUCAACCGGGGAACUGCAGGGCAUACUGCGAGGCUUGAGGAAGCUAGAGGCCGGUAGAACGAUAGGUGGAGCGGUGGAAUGCGUAGAUAUCUAUCGGAAUGCCGAAAGUGAAGACAGCCGGCUGGGGUUUUCCUGACGCUGAGGCACGAAAGCGUGGGGAGCAAACCGG
rnacentral:rRNA from 1 species